GGUGACUCCCGACUUAUGAGCUAGCUUAUGUGAUGAGAUAUGGAUAAGUCGUACAGGUCAUUAGAGGUGACUCCCGAUUUAUGAGCUAGCAUAUGUUAUGAGAUAUGGAUAAGUCGUACAAGUCACUAUGGGUGACUCCUGACUUAUGAGCUAACAUAUGUGAUGAGAUAUGGAUAAGUCGUACAGGUCACUAGAGGUGACUCCCGACUUAUAAGCUAACAUAUGUGAUGAGAUAUGGAUAAGUAGUACAUGUCACUAUAGAUGACUUCGACUUAUGAGUUAGCAUUGAUUAAUAAGAUAUGGGUGCAAUCGUACAGGUCACCAUAGGUGACUCCGACUUGCGUGCUAGUAUGAAUUAUUAAUCACAUGAUUAUUGAUAUUGUUGAUGAGAUGCUGCAUUGUGGUAUAUUUAUGGUUUACUGUUGAUAUACUUUUGAUUUCACAUUGAUACGUGGUAUGAUUUUUUGGAAAUUAUACAGAUGUUGCAGCGAUGAGUUAUAAUGUUGUAGAUGGUUUCUAUUUAAAUUUCAUUUCUAGGGCCACUCACCCUUGUUUUGUUUUCACCCUCCAGGUUUUAUUAGCUGAGCUUUCUUAUCAUUGAAGAUUUGUGGCGUUCUUAGUAUUGGAGAUUCUCUCGAGGGUACGAUUCUUAAUCCAUUUUAUUGUAUUUACAUAUGAUCUAACGUCACGUGUGAAGUGGGUUUAUUCCCGCUUACCAGCGCACUUUGGUAUUUAGGCACUCUUAGGUUUAAAUUUAUACACAUUUUCUCACAUCUUCGCACUUUAUGACUUCGUCACCUUCCAGGUGUCGGCCAGCGCAGCUCGAUUCGAAGUCCUAGUGGACAUUCCGGGUCGGGGUGUGUUACUAUUCACAACAUAUGAUUGAAUCACAUUAUUGCUAGCCUAUUUUAAAAAAAUAAAAAAAAUAAAAAUAAAAAACUUUACUAAUUUAUCACCAGCACUACACAUCUCAUAAAAUGUUUUAAACACAAUAUUCAUGAUUUUCCUUAUUUUUUUUAUUAUAUUUUUCUUUCCCAUUCACAUGGGCACCAUCAACUUUCACUUAUCCUUUCAUUUUUUUUAUUCUUUUCUAUCUUCACACUUAUAUUUAUAUUAUAUUUAUGAUGAUGAAAUUACCGAAUUACCCCUGCAUUAUUUGAUAUAUUAUAUUGGGCUGCUUUUGGAUUUUUUUGGUUGAGGGGCAAUUUUGUCCUAAUUUUUUUGUCGAAUGGGGUGACCCCAAAAUUUUGUCACCAUGUGUGACCCCAGAUUGGGGCUCUCGCUUAAUAUAUAACUAGCCCUCACGCGCGUGCAGAAUGCAUUUUUUGAAUCACGGCGUGCUACUCGCUAUUUACAUGUUUUAAAUGUAUUUAUAUGCGUAAAUUAACAAAAUGAAAGUUAAAUAUUUGAAGUAAAUGAAUAAUUUUAGAUCGUGCUAGAAGAAACCUUUCAUAAAUCAAUUAAAGCAGCUGAAUUCACAUAAUAAAAUCGGUUUCUAUAGAAUUUACAUUAAGAAUAGAGAAAAUAAUAUUUAAUAAAUAUUUGAUUAAAUCACAUUAUUGUUAGCCCAUUGUGAGGCUAAGCUCACCCAUUCCCCCUUCGUGUAGAUAACAUCGUUUGUUAAAAAAAAAAAACAAUCAUUUGAUAACUAAUUUAAUCACAUUAUUAUCCGAUUGCGAAAGACAUUUUUUAUAACUGGCAUUACACUCGUCUUAAGAUGUUUUGAACGCGUUUAAAAAUAGAUAAAAUAAU
rnacentral:lncRNA from 1 species